UGUCCCAUAUUUACCCGGACGUCGGCAGUGCGAAAUCUGCCAAUUAUUUCAUUGGCAAUAUCACAAUAAUAAUAUUUUAUAAGUCUUCGAAAAACAUUGCAAUAUACAUAUUAUAUACACAUUGUACAUAAAAUAUUACAACAAAAUACAUUAAGGAGAAUUCACUUAACAUUGUCAUUUCCAUUUUAGAUUCUGAACGGAGUGAGGAAUGUAUUAAUUUUACAAUGAUGUGUGUGUAUUUUUUUUAUCUAGGGAUGGUUUUCGGUGGCAAAUGGAAUAUCCUUGGACCUUGAUGCAUUAUAGUGAUCAAAAUUUCCGGAGGUGAACGACUACACGAGCGGAGACUGCGUUUUGGGAAACUAUUUUGUUUCCCUAAUCUCCAGGUCAACUGCGGUGAACGGUCUCGUACGCACGUGCCGGAGAUGAUGGUGAUGUAAUAGUGAUUUAGCGACGUUCAAAGUGAAAAAUACUUAAUAUUAGAGCUUUACGUCUUAUUAUUAAUGUAAUACGUGUGCACAACUAGAGCUUUGGUAUUAAUUAAUUUUAUUAAUUAUUUUUUUAAUCCACAUAGGUAAUAACGGAUUUAAGGUUUGCGCUUUUAGUAAAGUUCUUAUUUAAUAGAAAGAAAAAAAGGUUAGAAAGUUGAUUUAUUUUAUCUAAUGCGACAUAAAAAAAAUAUUUGAUGACGAAAGCCAUU